rnacentral:rRNA from 1 species
GUAGGGAAUAUUGGGCAAUGGAUGCAAGUCUGACCCAGCCAUGCCGCGUGCCGGAUGAAGGCCCUCAGGGUUGUAAACGGCUUUUAUUCGGGAAGAAGAGCGGGGAUGCGUCCCUGUGUGACGGUACCGAAUGAAUAAGCACCGGCUAACUCCGUGCCAGCAGCCGCGGUAAUACGGAGGGUGCGAGCGUUGUCCGGAUUUAUUGGGUUUAAAGGGUGCGUAGGUGGCUAAUUAAGUCAGUGGUGAAAUACAGCCGCUCAACGGUUGAGGUGCCAUUGAUACUGAUUAGCUUGAAAUAAUUGGAGGCUGCCGGAAUGGAUGGUGUAGCGGUGAAAUGCAUAGAUAUCAUCCAGAACACCGAUUGCGAAGGCAGGUGGCUACGAUUGAUUUGACACUGAGGCACGAAAGCAUGGGGAGCAAACAGG